CACAAAAACACUAGUAAUUCACAAUUUCUUCUUUAUGUUGUGACCACUCUCUCAAAUUUGUAUAUAUAUAUAGGUAACAUCUUCACCUCAACUCCAUUGAUUAACUCCCACUCUUUCCUCUCUUCAAAGCAAUCCCUUUUUUUUUCCUUCUUCUUUCAAAUUUCACUCUCAAAAACCAAAACACCAUUCAAACUCUCUCUCUCCCAACAAGGAAUAUACCCUUUGAUCCCAAAACCUUCCCCCUUUCCCUUUCUCUACUCUCUCCAUCUUUAUUAUUAUAUUAUUAAAUAUCUAUUCAUUCUUACAUAA